AUUAACGGAAGUGGAAGAAGAGGGAAAGUCGUUUUCUGCUUCUUCUUUUCUUCUUCUUCUUCUUCUUCUUCUUCUUCUUCACCAACAUGUUUUCUUCUUCUUUACCCAUGUAUACAGGUGAUUGUUAUAUGGGA
rnacentral:ribozyme from 14 species